rnacentral:rRNA from 1 species
UAGGGAAUCUUCCGCAAUGGACGAAAGUCUGACGGAGCAACGCCGCGUGAGUGAAGAAGGAUUUCGGUUCGUAACACUCUGUUGUUAGGGAAGAAAAAAUGUAUAGUAACUAUAUACAAAAGAGACGGUACCUAACCAGAAAGCCACGGCUAACUACGUGCCAGCAGCCGCGGUAAUACGUAGGUGGCAAGCGUUGUCCGGAAUUUUUGGGCGUAAAGCGCGCGCAGGUGGUUUAGAAAGUCUGAUGUGAAAGCCCACGGCUCAACCGUGGAGGGUCAUUGGAAACUAAUAAACUUGAGUGCAGGGGAGAAAAGUGGAGUUCCUAGUGUAGCGGUGAAAUGCGUAGAGAUUAGGAGGAACACCGGGGGCGAAAGCGGCUUUUUGGGCUGAAACUGACACUGUGGCGCGAAAGCGUGGGGAGCAAACAGG